UGGCGCGUAGCUCAAUGGGGAGAGCGGCGGUCUUACAAACCGCAGGUUGUGAGUUCAAGUCUCACCGGGCCAA
rnacentral:tRNA from 1 species